rnacentral:rRNA from 1 species
AUACGGAGGGAGCGAGCGUUAAUCGGAAUUACUGGGCGUAAAGCGCGCGUAGGCGGCUUUGUAAGUCGGAUGUGAAAGCCCUGGGCUUAACCUGGGAAUGGCAUUCGAUACUGCAGAACUAGAGUAUGGUAGAGGGAAGUGGAAUUCCAGGUGUAGCGGUGAAAUGCAUAGAUAUCUGGAGGAACAUCAGAGGCGAAGGCGGCUUUCUGGACUAAAACUGACGCUGAGGUACGAAAGCGUGGGGAGCAAACAGGAUUAGAUACCCCGGUAGUCC